GGGUGACUGGCACGGAACUCUCAGGAAUGAACAGGGGGUGGUUACAAGACUGACAUGGGAAUGCUCCAGUGAUGAAUGAGGAACAGACACCAACCUCAACUUCUACCUCGAUGAACUGAAAUGUGUGAGGAUCAGUGCAAUGAAUGGAGAUUAACUGCUAGAGACACUGUAAGAGAGGACUGGAGGAAUUGUUUUUGCUUGACCUCAGUUGCCUACUCAGGGUAGAAUCUGGUGCUUUCAUCAAGCCUUGGCCCUUGGGAGUCCAGUUGUGACAGGGGACUAUGUGCAGCCUGGCAGAGCAGAGAGGAAGAGCAGUCUUCUAAAACCUGAGCACCCCUUGUUGUGACACAAAUCCUUGGAAGCAGCAUGCACAGCCUGAAGAAAGCAGCAGUUCCAGUGCCUGGCUCUUCAUAACCCAAGUCUGAAGCCUCAGAGAGAAGCAUGGGGAAUGCUUACUGAGACUGCCCAGGAAGGCCAGGUGGUCCUUACAGGAAGACAGGAGACGUGUGGGUCUUAGCACAUCUCAAGAUCAGGGCACCUUGUCCUGUGUCAAAGCAGGGAGGAAGGGGCUGUCACUGCAGGCCUCGGACUUUCUGACUUUUGCAGCCCUGGAUCUUCUUCAGUUCAAUGAUUUUCUCCCAAGAGUUUCCUAGCCCCUCUGAGCCACAAUGGAUCCUCUCCAGCCUCCUCUUGUGGUACUUCCUUGAUCUGCAUCCCCUUGGAGAAAAACAGCCAGGAGGAGAUGUCCAAGAGGCAACUGCUGAGAGUUUACAGGGAACUUCAGCAUGUAGCAGUACUUGGAGAUGUGCACAAACAUGCUUGCAGACUGAAAACGCUUGUCUCAACUUAAUUUGUCGUCGUAUUUCGGGAGAUUUAGUGGGACUGGAGCAUAGGCAUUUCACCGAGCUUGGAAUUAUCCUGACCCAGCAAAAAGCAAGCUCGCACUCCCUUUGUGUGCAAAACUUUCCUGCGGCUGCUGAGAACAAACGCUGGCAGUAGCUGCAGGACCUGGACAAACGCGCGCUCCCGCUGCUCCUGUCCCCGCCUGCCGAGCAAUGGAGGAGCCUGUGGGGCACAUCAAGGCUGCUCAACCGCGGGCGUGCCCCUCGAAGCGCACGAGAAAAAU